GGGAGUUAUUGAGUUUAACAGUCACUCCUUACCUGGCUUUUCUCUAAGCUAGAAAGGGGGACUUUUGUUCUAUCAUCUUCUGGGAAUAGACUAAUCUUGAGGAAAGAUUAGGAAAGUCCUGGGUGUGGAGAACUGCCUUGGAUAUCUGUCUUUCCCUGAAGUUCUGAGACCAGUCUGGCUGAGACAACUUUGUUAAGGGUGAAAGAGAUUCAUUUGGGACUUUAUUUCUCUUUCCAGAAGAGAAGAGAUGGCCAAACCAUUAUGACUCAUUUCACAGAACAAGGAUUGAAGCAUAUGGAAAGUAAUUACAUUCAAAAUAUGCUAGAAAGUGAUUUCAUGAAUAAAGAUACAUCCCUCUCUACUCAAACUGACAGGCAGAGGCAAAAGAGCCAAAACAGAUUCAACUGACCAGACAACAUGUGAAGGCCUGGAUAGCCAAGCAGGAAGAACAAUAUUGCAA
rnacentral:lncRNA from 1 species